rnacentral:rRNA from 1 species
AUGAACGCUGGCGGCGUGCCUAAUCCAUGCAAGUCGAGCGAACGGACGAGAAGCUUGCUUCUCUGAUGUUAGCGGCGGACGGGUGAGUAACACGUGGAUAACCUACCUAUAAGACUGGGAUAACUUCGGGAAGCCGGAGCUAAUACCGGAUAAUAUUUUGAACCGCAUGGUUCAAAAGUGAAAGACGGUCUUGCUGUCACUUAUAGAUGGAUCCGCGCUGCAUUAGCUAGUUGGUAAGGUAACGGCUUACCAAGGCAACGAUGCAUAGCCGACCUGAGAGGGUGAUCGGCCACACUGGAACUGAGACACGGUCCAGACUCCUACGGGAGGCAGCAGUAGGGAAUCUUCCGCAAUGGGCGAAAGCCUGACGGAGCAACGCCGCGUGAGUGAUGAAGGUCUUCGGAUCGUAAAACUCUGUUAUUAGGGAAGAACAUAUGUGUAAGUAACUGUGCACAUCUUGACGGUACCUAAUCAGAAAGCCACGGCUAACUACGUG